CUCGCUGGUCCCACCCACUCAUUGGCAGGAAGAUUUGCUAAGCCUCGAUUUAGACACUGCUGCCCUUCCAAUGAAGCUGGCACAUAACUGCACAUCAGCGGGGUAACGAUUUCGGAAAAUGAGCAAUAAUUGAGAGUUGAGUGGUUCGUGAUACUCGUCCAGCUCUUCCAGCUGGGCCCCUGUGCCCAUUCUGGAAGUGGGCAGUGGCUUUGGAGGCAGCGGGGAAGCACAUGACGGUCUGGUCUGGGUACAGUGGGACAGCUCCAAGUAUGCUGCUGACUCUGCUCCUCCAGACUGGGACAACAGCCUGAGCACGGGGCUGUGGAACUCAAAGAGAUCUCCACUGGGCUGUGGACACACAAGGACAAGGUGUGCAAGGAGAGGAGGACCAUGACUGCCCAGUCUCUCUGGAUCUGCAGCCUCCUGCCUCAGCUCCAGCAUGUGCCCUAAUGGAGCGUCCUAAAGAAGUGACCAAGAAAGCCAACACAACUCUGGCAAGUCCCUCUGACUCCGGGACUUCUCCAGCCACCUCCGUUGUCACCUUGAUGUAACAGCCAGCACUCACCCUCUUCCCCUCUACUAUAACCAGGCUUCUGUUCUCACAAGAAGCAGCUACUUCCUGCGUCACCAAUGCUCUCUAUGUUGCCAGAUGGCAUGACUGUGACUGUCACUUUUAGGGACCACACUGCUGCUGGGGCUGGGUGAGAGGAACUACCCCAGUUUUUGGCUUAACCAAAGCAGAGCCUGGCAGCCUAUCAGGUGCCUGUUAGUGACUGCACUGCCACGCCCCUUGCCAAUGUCCUGUCCAUGUUCCAUCACUGACCACUGGGUUAACUGUCCUUACUUCACGGAUCAGGGCAUCCUGGAGAGCCUGGCGGUCCACUGAGAGCUGACAGAACGAAACAAAAGAAGAAUGAAAAAAAAAGAAACAAAA
rnacentral:lncRNA from 1 species